GUGGGGAAUAUUGCACAAUGGGCGAAAGCCUGAUGCAGCAACGCCGCGUGAGUGAUGAAGGCCUUCGGGUCGUAAAACUCUGUCCUUAAGGAAGAUAAUGACGGUACUUGAGGAGGAAGCCCCGGCUAACUACGUGCCAGCAGCCGCGGUAAUACGUAGGGGGCUAGCGUUAUCCGGAUUUACUGGGCGUAAAGGGUGCGUAGGUGGUUUCUUAAGUCAGGAGUGAAAGGCUACGGCUUAACCGUAGUAAGCUCUUGAAACUGGGAAACUUGAGUGCAGGAGAGGAAAGUGGAAUUCCUAGUGUAGCGGUGAAAUGCGUAGAUAUUAGGAGGAACACCAGUAGCGAAGGCGGCUUUCUGGACUGUAACUGACACUGAGGCACGAAAGCGUGGGGAGCAAACAGG
rnacentral:rRNA from 1 species